GAAAGAAUAAAAGGCUUGGCUUGGUGAGAUGGGAAACUAUGUAAGUUCUCUGACGUCUUGGUGUCUCUGUCAUUUUGGAUGCUCUGCCCACCGCAGGAAAGUUAGAGGAAACAGGAGAUUCUCUGGCAGUGAGGAGGUUACAGAGAUCGGUGGUUCCAGAGGCAGCUAGAGCCCUUGCCAUGCUCCCUGGAAGUGCUCCAGGGAGACAGCAAGGUGUUGCAAACUGACCUAAGAUGAUCAUGUCCAACUCGGCCUUCUUUUUUUUGUUGGUUACAAUAGCUGCCAGAGAAGUCGGAAGUGACAAGGGGUUGCCUGUUUCACAUCCUUACUCCCAGAAUAUAUAAAGAAAAAGUUGCAGUCUAAAAUCUGCCACAAACCCCCCCCCCCCACACACACACACCAUUUAUUAAACACUCAUUAGCAGGCAGGCACAUUAGCUUCUUUGAGAUCUCUCUGUCCUUUUGGAUGCUCUGGCCACGGCAUGAAUCAAAGCUUUACUCGGUGGGGCAACAGUGUCACAGAGGGAGGACUCUGUCUCCCACAUAGGAGGCAUCAGAGAACCAGAGAGGGAGUCUGCUUUCAAUUUCGUUAUGCUGUUCCAAUCCUGAUCAACCCCAGAGGUGACAUCAGAAGCAGGUUUCCUCUCACGAGGUACCAGAAGCCCUCAGGAGGCUGCCGGCCAGGCAAAGAUGCUCUGCUGUACUAAAUACGUUCCAGGAGCCAUGCAGGCUUGGACAAUAAAAAUAACGGACUGAAGAUUGGAAGUACUUUCCGCCAUGCUCACCCUUCGUGACGAAUUUAUUGAGCUCCCGCCCGCAGGCCAGGGCCGUGAGAAGCAGAGAAGGAAAACACCAACUCCUUGCCCUAUAGGACUUAAUAGCUAACUCAUACAAUAAUUACUGUUUACUAGGCACUGUCGUCGCUCAGCUGUCAAACAACACUACCAAAUCGGUGCUAUUAUCAGCAUCUCUGGCAGAUGAAGAAACUGAGGCAUAACCAAGGCCGCCCAGAGCGCCCAGGUGGCUCAGCCUUUAAGCAUCUGACUUCUGCUCAGGUCACGAACUCACAGUUUGUGAGUUCACACUGAGUGAGUUUGAGCCCCGCAUCAGGUGGAAUACAAGGCCCACUUCAGGUGAGGCCCAGCUUUCCCUCCCUCUCUCUCUCUCUUUCUCCCUCCCUUUCUCUCUCUCUGUCCCUCACUCACUUGUGCCCUCUGAAUAAAUAAAUAAAUAGAUAGAUAGAUAGAUAGAUAGAUAACCAAGGCCACCCAAAGUAGUAAGAGGCAGGGUUUUGAAUCUGGGCUGUCAGGUUCCUGAAUCCACACUGUUGGCCACAAACCAUAUCACCCGUCUAGUUUAGUGAGGGAUGGACAGGUAAGUAAAUAAUUCACACAGAGCACAAUGGUCGAAGCACGAAGUGCCAUGGCAGCACAAGAAGGAGACCCUGACAGCUCAGGAUCUGAGGAGGGAUGGGGAGAGAGGUAUCUCCUGAAUGAGCUGACACCUGGACAGCGCCGGAAAGCAUGAAUCGGUGCCAGCUGGGAACAGAAGAGAGGGGAGAGAACUCUGGCCACAUAAGCACGGUAUUGGGGAGUGGGGGCGGGGCCUAAACACCGUAGCGUCACUAGAGAAUAAAAUGCCAGGGGGGAGGUGGGACACAGUUUGCGCGACAAAUGUUUGCUGAGCCUCUUAUAUGUGCAGGACUGUGCUUAUUGCCGAGGGUAUAGCAGGGACAGGGUGUCCAAGGAGCCUGAACUUGAGCUUUCGAACAUUUUGCUCCCCUAACUUACUAAAAUAACUCUAAAACUACCCCCAUGCGAAACAUUCAACACACUGGAAAAGGAAGGGAACUUCCUCAAUCUGAUAAAGGGCAUCUCUGAAAACCCCCACAGCUAACAUCGUAUUUAAUGGUGAGAGACUGAAUGCCUUCCCUCUAAGGUCAGGAAUAAGACAGGGAUGUCCGCUCUUCCCAGUAUUGAACUGGAGGUUCCAGCUAGAGUCACUAGGCAGGAAAAUCAAAUAAAAGCAAACAAAUUGGAAAGGAAAUUGACACUUUACAAUAAGAGUGUUACAGGGGCACCUGGGUGGCUCAGUUGGUUGGGCGUCUGACUCUUGAUUUUGGCUCGGGUCAAGAUCUCAUGGUAGUGGGAUCGAGCCCCCGCCUCAUCAGGCUCCGCGCUGAGUGUGGAGCUUGCUUGGGAUUCUCUCCCUCUCACCGCGUGUGCUUUCUCAAAAUAAAUAAACAUUUUUAAAAAUAAAAGUGUUACGUCAGCUUUGAAUGCCAUCCAGCGGAGUUUAAAUACUACAGCAGUUUGAUGCCCACCAUCAUCCAUUUAUAUGUAAAUAAAGUAAAACGACUUUGUUAACUA